UAAGGAAUAUUGGUCAAUGGGCGCAAGCCUGAACCAGCCAUGCCGCGUGCAGGAAGACGGCCCUAUGGGUUGUAAACUGCUUUUGUCAGGGAAUAAACCUGUCUACGUGUAGGCAGCUGAAGGUACCUGAAGAAUAAGCAUCGGCUAACUCCGUGCCAGCAGCCGCGGUAAUACGGAGGAUGCAAGCGUUAUCCGGAUUCAUUGGGUUUAAAGGGUGCGCAGGCGGAUUGAUAAGUCAGGGGUGAAAUCCCACAGCUCAACUGUGGAACUGCCCUUGAUACUGUUAGUCUAGAGUAUAGUUGAAGUUGGCGGAAUGUGUCAUGUAGCGGUGAAAUGCUUAGAUAUGACACAGAACACCGAUCGCGAAGGCAGCUAGCUAAGCUAUAACUGACGCUCAUGC
rnacentral:rRNA from 1 species